rnacentral:rRNA from 1 species
AACGAACGCUGGCGGCAGGCCUAACACAUGCAAGUCGAACGCUGUAGCAAUACAGAGUGGCAGACGGGUGAGUAACGCGUGGGAACGUGCCUUUCGGUUCGGAAUAACUCAGGUAAACUUGAGCUAAUACCGGAUACGCCCUUCGGGGGUAAGAUUUAUUGCCGAAAGAUCGGCCCGCGUCCGAUUAGCUAGUUGGUGUGGUAAUGGCGCACCAAGGCGACGAUCGGUAGCUGGGCUGAGAGGAUGAUCAGCCACACUGGGACUGAGACACGGCCCAGACUCCUACGGGAGGCAGCAGUGGGGAAUAUUGGACAAUGGGCGCAAGCCUGAUCCAGCCAUGCCGCGUGAGUGAUGAAGGCCCUAGGGUUGUAAAGCUCUUUCGCCAGGGACGAUAAUGACGGUACCUGGAUAAGAAGCCCCGGCUAACUUCGUGCCAGCCGCCGCGGUAA